rnacentral:rRNA from 1 species
CCAAUAGCGUAUAUUAAAGUUGUUGCAGUUAAAAAGCUCGUAGUUGAAUUUCGGGGUUCUUCCGUUGGUCGGGCUAUCCAGUCUGUACUAGCGUGUAGAAUUCCUACCUUCUGGGGAACCAUCAUGUUAUUAAUUUAGCGUGGUGGGAAACCAGGACCUUUACCUUGAAAAAAUUAGAGUGUUCAAAGCAGGCUUACGUCUGAAUACAUUAGCAUGGAAUAAUAGAAUAGGACGGUGGUCCUGUUUUGUUGGUUUCUGAAUCACCGUAAUGAUUAAUAGGGAUAGUUGGGGGCAUUAGUAUUCAAUUGUCAGAGGUGAAAUUCUUGGAUUUAUUGAAGACUAACUUCUGCGAAAGCAUUUGCCAAGGAUGUUUUCAUUAAUCAAGAACGAAAGUUAGGGGAUCGAAGACGAUCAGAUACCGUCGUAGUCUUAACCAUAAACUAUGCCGACUAGGGAUCGGACGAUGUUAAAUUUUAUUGACUCGCUCGGCGCCUUACG